AAAGAACAAGGCAUGUACUAUUUGUUCCCUUUGGAUUGGGUGAUUUCUAUGAAUCUUUACCUCUAUGCAUUUUCCACAGGUUUACAACACGAGAUUCCUGACCAGAAGGGGAACAAGGCGGAGUGGCAUGGUGACCAAUUCCAGAUGUGCAUCUGUUCUAGUGAAACUAAGGGCAAUAAGGUAAAACAUCACUUCUAGGGGAUGCUCUUGUUAUUGCCAGGACAGUCUGUUUUGCAUUUAGGAAUGUUGGGGAGGAAUACUACAUCAAGAAGAACGAUUGGGUAGAGCUUAUCGCAAUACUUGGACUAUUUGGACUGCUUGUCAGCACAAUUCAGAUGUAUCCUCUACACGGUUCAUUAUUAAUAGAAGACCCACAGAGGAAAAUUGUCAUAAUUCAUUGAUAUUACCAUCUAUAGAUUUGAUCUUGUUAUUGCGUAGUUAAAAUAUCACUACCUUUUUUCUUGAACAAAAAUAUCUUGACAAUACUUUCCUGGAACAAA